UGUAGGGGGGAGGUGGCCAGGGUUUGCUCUUUGCAGCCUGAUUAGGCUGGUCCUUCUUGCUGCAGGUACUGGAUGGCUAUGGAGUGCUGAAGAGGGAAGGAUGAGAUGACAGGAGGAGCCAUCCAAGCAGGGAAUUGGAUGAUUGGUGAUGGACUCCUACAGUUGCAAUGGGAAAGCAGAGGCUUUGCUGGAGAGCCAGGAUCACUGCUGGCUGUGGAAGCGAAUCAGCAAGUAUGGCUGCGAGUGACGUGCCCCAUGCUGCAGCAAGAUUUUGGAUGGAGGAGUUGUGUUGCAGCCAGAGGAUUCAAAUUUUAGUGGAAUAUCUGUAAAAAAAGAUGUCAGGGUAACUUUCAUUCAAGAACUGGCACAAAACUGUUACAGCAUACCUUUUGGGGAGAAGCUGUGAGAAAAGCAAGAAAACAAAUCCACCAAAACAUUACUAGGAGCUAUCACUCAUGAAAGGCGAUGCAAGCCCUUCUUUGAAUUCUUCUUGGGCUAUGGAUCAGAAUGUCUAUUGUUUUUUCACUAUCUAGCAGUAAUUUUACCCCAGAAAGCUAGAUAUACCUUUUGUUAAUCACAGAAGUCAUUAGGAAUAUAGCUUCCUUUACAUUGUGGUAGUUUGACAUCUGAGCAAAUUCAAAUGAGUUUAGUUACUGUUCAUGGGAAAGUCAUCACAAGAUUUGAGCCAUAAAACAAUGCACAUAAAACUAUGUUCAGUUAGUUCAGAUCUAAAUAUAAAAGGAGUAAGAUCAUUUUGUGUUCUCGCUGAGGGCAGGCACAAAGAUAAACUGAACUGAUUUAAAAAUAUAUGAAAAUUCGAACUGCAAUAGAAAUCUCUGAAAAUUAUCUUUAAAGAGAAAGGGGAACCUAGCAACAGCUUCUGCAGAUUUUAAAAAUGAAAUGCCUUCUCACUACCUAAAUUAAAAUAAAACUGGCCCAAGAUGGAUCUUUUUUUUUCUAGUUGAAGAUAAACCUGCUGGUUUCAGUGGAGCUAUUCAUGUGGAGAAAUGUGAUUUUUUACAAUAACACGUUUUCUCCAGUCUCUUUAUUCACUUUACACUAUGCACUUAUAAAGAUCCUGCAGACCUGUCCACAUUUCAUUUAAUAUUUUAUAUAGAUAAUUAGCGGAGAAGAUGUGAAAUCUGGGUAUAGGCCAGAUUCGCUGGGUUUUCUGUAAUGUCUUGAAUGAUAGUAGUUAGGAAAAACACCUUUUAAUGUCUUUUAAUGUCUUUGUAACCUGCUAUUUCUUUGGUGUAAAUUUAAAAGAAAUACAAUCUUGAGGGGUAGCCACUACCCAGGGGGUAUGUCCUGCUGCAUGUCUGUUAGCAAAACGAAAAGUGAGAGGAUUCAGAAAAUUGAGUCAAAUUAUAACAGUGGGGUUGAUGGAGUUGGGGGCUUUGUGGAGGGACUCAUGUAACUGUGGCGAUGAAACCGGAGUCAUCCAGUACACAUCAGAGUCCGGGCAGAUGGUGCUUAAGACCUGAAAAGCUACUUCAGAAUGCCCCCCCCCCCCCCCCCCCAGUUGAGGAAACAGCAGUUUAUGAAAAAUACAGAAUUUUUUUUUCACUUUUCUUUUAACUGAGAAAUACUCAACUGAUUGAAUUGUACUUAAUAUGGUGUGUGUAGGUGCAGCAUCUGAAAUCCAACACAGGAGGCAUGAUUUUGGCAAAAGCAAAACAACAGAUGCUUGUGACAAGCAGGUUGUAUAACAGAUUUCUCUUGCAACCUAGGUCAGCUGUUUUUCACCAAGAUUGAGUUUAACUGAAAUGGUUAGUAUUAGAUAAAAUAUAUAUUCAUAUGCAGUUGAGGUAUGAUCUUGGCUUCCUUUACAUUGAUAUUUUCACUGAAUUCAGCAUUUGUUAAAGUUACAGCUAAUUAUAACCUUGUGGACAAUAAUUGUUUUACUUACACCAACUGUAUAUAAUAGCUACUAAAUCAGAGCUAUUUCAUUUUUUUUAAUUGUACAUAUAUUUAGGGGAACAUUCUAAAGACACGUGCAAUAUUUAUUCUGUAUUCAACUCAGCAAAACAACUGCAAUUAAGGAAGAAAUAAAAGGAGGAGGGGGAGGGAAGACUAAUUUUGGAAAAACAGCUCCUCCAAUAGCUUGGAAAUACUUCUUGCAAUAUGUUAAGGCUAAUAUAACUGUCACAGCCUUCUGUGGAGCACCCUUCAUGAAAACAUUCAAGUGGAAAAAUUGAAAAGCUCAUGUAAAUGUCAAUCUGAAUAUGUGACUCUACAGUUUUUUGCUGUAUGAAGUAGCUGCUUAGACUUUAGAUGGUGAAAUCAUGUCUUAUUUUGGUGGUGGUUUCCUUUUGAUUUUCUGUUGUCCUGCUUUGCUUGUUAUACAACAAUGUAGCAAUGUGCUGUGGGAAGAGUUAGAGCUGGACACCUGCAAUAUCUGUGCUUCUGUGUGUAUUUGGGAAGGAGAAAGGUGAUGGGCGUGGGUUUUAGUCCCUUCUAGCUCCUGGAGCUGGUGUGCAUAGAGGCAGUGCUGCAGCUGGAAUGUGCUUCUUAGUCAAUGAUAAUCUCAAAGUUCAUGCAUAAAGCAAAAUAGUGCUACAAAAAUGAGAUGACAGACAAAAGAUAAGCUAUAAAAACAACACAAAUGUAAGCAUAAUGUCAAGUGUGUGCAUGUGUUGUAGUUAAUCGUUUAAAAGCAUUGCUUUGAAAACAGGAAUAAACUUUGUCUCAACAUGGUGUUCAAGUGCAUCUUUCCUGUGACCUCCUGGUACCACUGCAGAGGUGCUGGGUGUAACUGUGGAGGCACUGGCUUGGUUUUAGAAGCAGCAACCUGAUGGCUGCUUACUGAAGCCCAUCACCUGGAGCCUCUGCCAUGCUGGUUCCCAUGGUGUGGGAACCAGCCUUGGUCUUCCCUCAGAAG